ACUGAGUGGGAAUGAUUAGAAUAAAAUUGAGGACUCUAGCAGCGGACUUAGAAUGGUAUCAGCGGGUUCUCAUCCUACAACCUGACUUUGGAAGUUGGAGAUAAGGGGUGUCUAGGGGUUGGGUCAGACUCCAGUUUUGGAGUCUGACUCACAGUUGGGCGGAGCCAAGGCCCCCUGAGGCUGAGCCAGAACCUCUGAGAGUGAACCUGGAGACUCAGAGGGCAGCUGGCAGGGCUCACAGUGUGGGGUCCCACCCUGCAGAGGCUGGGUCAGGCCCUCAAGGGCUGGGUUGCUGGCUUCAAGAGGCUGGGCCAGGAUGUCAAGGGGCGGAGUUCCGGGUUCCACAGCUGGGACAGUGUUGCCCAGAGCUGAUUCCUGGGACUUGCAGAAACGUGCGAAGCUGCUCCUGCCGCACGUCCACCAGGUACCUGCAGAUGGGAAGCGCCCUGUCAGGGACCCAGAUUUUGAUCCCCAGCCAGGAUGUUCCCCACCCUCCACCCCACUGACUCACCGGGCUAAUUCCACAAUCAAGUUCCCUCCGGGUGCCACACAGGCCCCAAGCUCAGGGAUGAGAAGAUGGACCAUACUGCAGAGAGGACGGAGGACAGGCUGAGAUUCAGCUCCAAAUCCGGAGGGAGGAUGGGGCUCUGGGAUCCCAGACAAUGAGGGAGGAGGGGUGGCAAAACUGGAGUCUGGGUCCUGGGGAAAGAAGGGAGCAGGAGGUCUGGACUCCUGGGUCUGAGGGAGGAGGGGCUGGGGGCCUGGACCCCUGGGUCUAAGCAAGGAGGGGCUGGGGGCCUGGACUCCUGGGUCUGAGGGAGGAGGGGCUGGGGGCCUGAUCCUGGGUCUUUGUGAGCACAGCUGCCUCCCCGCUUACCCACAGGCCACAUAGAGGAGCUGGAAUCGGCCGUUGUAGCAGCUCUUGUGGUGGAGAGUCUGAGCAGAAUUGAGCGGCAGGAAGUGGACGUCCCAGCCUCGCCGCGCACCUUGACUGGCUGGCCGUUGCUCGUCCGCAGGAGGCUCUCGUCGUCCGCUUCGAUGCCGAAGGCCACGAAGGGCCCCGUGGCGAUGUCCCCCCAGUACCCGCGCGCUGCCACGCGCUCCCCACGCUGGAAAAGGAGGGAGAGAGGAGGCAGGUAAUCUAGAGAUGAUUUGCGGUGUAUGGGACCAUGUGUACAGGCUAUUUGCUGCUGCUGCACUGGCCUCGUCCCUGGAUCCCUCGCCGCAGAUCUGUCCUACACAGGGUUCCAGAGGAGUCAUCCUAACACCAUCUGACCCUGUCCCUCUCAUGCUCAAAACAUAUUUGUAGCCUUCAUCACCUUCAUGACAUGGAUACUGCUGAGUUCUCCAGACACUUCACUCCAGAGUGCAGCUAUUGUGAGAAAUGACUCUUUGUUCCCCAAAUAAGCCUCAGAAUCUGGAUAUGGGGCCUGAAUCUGGAUAUGGGGCCUCAACACAUGCUCCAACUUGGACUAGAAUGUCCUUCUCUCUGGUCUCAGUUAACUCUGUCCCUCAGGUCUCAGUGCAGAAGUCACCUCCACCACGAAGCCUCCUCUGUCUGACCCUCUGUUUUAAACUUUUUCCUACUGUAAAUAUGUCCCAUUUUCUGAAAAAAAUCAGCAUAUUUUAAAGUAUUCUGGCAC
rnacentral:lncRNA from 1 species